UACGAAGGGGCUAGCGUUGCUCGGAUUGACUGGGCGUAAAGGGCGCGUAGGCGGUUCGUACAGUCAGACGUGAAAUCCUGGGCUCAACCUGGGGCUGCGUUUGAUACGUGCGGACUUGAGUGCGGAAGAGGGUCGUGGAAUUCCCGAGUGUAGAGGUGAAAUUCGUAGAUAUUGGGAAGAACACCGGUGGCGAAGGCGGCGACCUGGUCCGAUACUGACGCUGAGCGCGAA
rnacentral:rRNA from 1 species